GAUGAACGCUGGCGGCGUGCCUAAUACAUGCAAGUCGAGCGAACAGACGAGGAGCUUGCUCCUCUGACGUUAGCGGCGGACGGGUGAGUAACACGUGGAUAAUCUACCUAUAAGACUGGGAUAACUUCGGGAAACCGGAGCUAAUACCGGAUAAUAUAUUGAACCGCAUGGUUCAAUAGUGAAAGACGGUUUUGCUGUCACUUAUAGAUGGAUCCGCGCCGCAUUAGCUAGUUGGUAAGGUAACGGCUUACCAAGGCAACGAUGCGUAGCCGCCCUGAGAGGGGGAUCGGCCACACUGGAACUGAGACACGGUCCAGACUCCUACGGGAGGCAGCAGUAGGGAAUCUUCCGCAAUGGGCGAAAGCCUGACGGAGCAACGCCGCGUGAGUGAGGAAGGUCUUCGGAUCGUAGAGCUCUGUUAUUGGGGAAGAACAAAUGUGUAAGUAACUAUGCACGUCUUGACGGUACCUAAUCAGAAAGCCACGGCUAACUACGUG
rnacentral:rRNA from 1 species